GCGGCGGAGGGUGAGUAACACGCUGGGUAACCUGCCUGUAAGACUGGGAUAACUCCGGGAAACCGGGGCUAAUACCGGAUGGUUGUUUGAACCGCAUGGUUCAAACAUAAAAGGUGGCUUCGGCUACCACUUACAGAUGGACCCGCGGCGCAUUAGCUAGUUGGUGAGGUAACGGCUCACCAAGGCAACGAUGCGUAGCCGACCUGAGAGGGUGAUCGGCCACACUGGGACUGAGACACGGCCCAGACUCCUACGGGAGGCAGCAGUAGGGAAUCUUCCGCAAUGGACGAAAGUCUGACGGAGCAACGCCGCGUGAGUGAUGAAGGUUUUCGGAUCGUAAAGCUCUGUUGUUAGGGAAGAACAAGUACCGUUCGAAUAGGGCGGUACCUUGACGGUACCUAACCAGAAAGCCACGGCUAACUACGUGCCAGCAGCCGCGGUAAUACGUAGGUGGCAAGCGUUGUCCGGAAUUAUUGGGCGUAAAGGGCUCGCAGGCGGUUUCUUAAGUCUGAUGUGAAAGCCCCCGGCUCAACCGGGGAGGGUCAUUGGAAACUGGGGAACUUGAGUGCAGAAGAGGAGAGUGGAAUUCCACGUGUAGCGGUGAAAUGCGUAGAGAUGUGGAGGAACACCAGUGGCGAAGGCGACUCUCUGGUCUGUAACUGACGCUGAGGAGCGAAAGCGUGGGGAGCGAACAGGAUUAGAUACCCUGGUAGUCCACGCCGUAAACGAUGAGUGCUAAGUGUUAGGGGGUUUCCGCCCCUUAGUGCUGCAGCUAACGCAUUAAGCACUCCGCCUGGGGAGUACGGUCGCAAGACUGAAACUCAAAGGAAUUGACGGGGGCCCGCACAAGCGGUGGAGCAUGUGGUUUAAUUCGAAGCAACGCGAAGAACCUUACCAGGUCUUGACAUCCUCUGACAAUCCUAGAGAUAGGACGUCCCCUUCGGGGGCAGAGUGACAGGUGGUGCAUGGUUGUCGUCAGCUCGUGUCGUGAGAUGUUGGGUUAAGUCCCGCAACGAGCGCAACCCUUGAUCUUAGUUGCCAGCAUUCAGUUGGGCACUCUAAGGUGACUGCCGGUGACAAACCGGAGGAAGGUGGGGAUGACGUCAAAUCAUCAUGCCCCUUAUGACCUGGGCUACACACGUGCUACAAUGGACAGAACAAAGGGCAGCGAAACCGCGAGGUUAAGCCAAUCCCACAAAUCUGUUCUCAGUUCGGAUCGCAGUCUGCAACUCGACUGCGUGAAAGCUGGAAUCG
rnacentral:rRNA from 1 species